UGAGGGGGGCUGCUCCUAGUACGAGAGGACCGGAGUGGACGCAUCACUGGUGUUCGGGUUGUCAUGCCAAUGGCACUGCCCGGUAGCUAAAUGCGGAAGAGAUAAGUGCUGAAAGCAUCUAAGGACGAAACUUGCCCCGAGAUGAGUUCUCCCUGACUCCUUGAGAGUCCUGAAGGAACGUUGAAGACGACGACGUUGAUAGGCCGGGUGUGUAAGCGCAGCGAUGCGUUGAGCUAACCGGUACUAAUGAACCGUGAGGCUUAACCUUACAACGCCGAAGGUGUUU
rnacentral:rRNA from 1 species